UUCUUCGGGGUAGGGUGUAAGUCCCAACCGGCGGUAAAAGUCCGCGACCCGCUUCGGCGGCUGAUCCGGUGUGAUUCCGGAACCGACAGUACAGUCUGGAUGAGAGAAGAA
rnacentral:ncRNA from 1 species